UGUUUAGGCCCCAGGAAACAAUCUCUACAUGUGGCACUCGACUCUGAAAACAACAGGUCAAAUGUCCUGAUACUUCGUGGAUGAUGCCACCGCAGACAUAGGAGACAGACACUGCUUCAAGAGAGGAUUUGAGUGAACUUGGAGGACAUUUGAAAAUGACCAAAAAAUAUAAUGAGAAGAAAUUAGCCUGACUAGGGUGGGAGCAGGAAGAAGAAAUGUAUCUUCUUUGAAAGAGCCUUGCAAACAAGAAAACGGGCCAGGGACAAAGUGCAGGAGGAGAGGCUAUCACAAUGGCUCAGAGGCUUGAAAAGAGCUCAGGGUCAGACCAUGUUCUCUGAUAUGGGACAGGCAGAGCCCCGUGAAUGAGGUAGGCGAGGGUGCGUGGGACACUCGGCAGCGGCCCAAUCUCUAUCUGCAAAGAGCCUGUGGAGGAAGGGGAGGUGCUGGGGGGAGCUGACUUGGGGGUCACACAGCCCCCACUGGGCUCCCCUAGGGUGGGAGCCAGGGUCUCUGUGAGGCACCAGGAGACGGGACUGGGGCCAGCAGGCACAAGUGCUGGGAGGAGGACUUCAGCUCAGAGAAGGAGCAGAUCUCCACUAGGGGGCAGGAGGGGACCACAGAUGCUAAACAGCCGGCCAUUCAGGGUUACCCUGGCCAGAAUUCUCCCUUAAGCCUCAGCUUCCAGAGCUACAAAUCAGAGCUAAAUAAACCCUCCUUCCACUGGGGGUGGCGGAGGUCACGUGUGUGUGUGCACGCAUGUGUGAACGUGUGUCAGAGACCAGCAGCCGCUCACCCAAUCCAUUUCUUCUGCCUGGACAGACUACAUCUUCAGCCUUAUUUGUGCUCUAGCCAACGGGAUGGAAGUGGAGCGAUGCUAGCCCCAUAGAGGCCUGGCCCAGAGACCCUCCUGCACAAUUCUCUACACUCUCUUUCCCCGGUGGUGCCUCCCCCUGGUGUGGAGUGACCUUGGGAGCCACGUGUGGGAGAGGAAGAGGGCAGAGCCCCUGGCAGGUAGCCAAGGUCUCUCAUCAACAAGCCAAUUAACUUUUACGUGCACGAGAAAUAAGCCUCUAUUCUACCGCCAAUGCAGAGUGGGUAGGAGGUGCUUGAUAAACGGAGCCACUUUCCUUCAUCAUGUUAAGGAUGUUGCAGGUCAGCGCUCUCCUGUGCGGCAUCACUGGCUUCUAGGGAUGGAAGGAAACGCUUCCCUUCUCCAGCCGCACUGGAUCCUGAGUGUUCCCCUCUCUUUCCACUGACCUCCCCGGACAGAUGGUAAGGGGCUCAUCCAUGCUGUCCUCCACCCUAGACUGUGAGCCCUCUGAAAGUCAAGGCUGUGACUGGCCAUCCAUCUGUCUCAGCAUCCAGCACAGGGAACAAACCGAAAUGUUCAUAGGAGGUUUGAGCUGGGGGCAGUAAGUUCCCUGUCAUGUGAAGGAGGCAAGGCUGCAAAGGGGGCUCCUGACCGAGGCUGGACUAGAGGACAUGGGACUCCCUUCUCAGCCUGGAGUCUUACAGCUGAGUUAACCACAGGGCAGGUUCUUAGCAGAGCCCCACGAGCUAACCAUGAGCUUCUUACUCCUGAAGAAACGUGGGGAUGAGCACUGGGAAGCUGCUGCGGGCUCUGGGCCCAGGCAAGCUUCUCCCCCUGACUCCAGCCAGCAAGAGCUUGGAGACUCUGAGAGGCCUCCGGAGAAAGCUCAAGGGUUCAGGGCCUGUUUCUGGCCUUGCUCUGCCUGCACUGGCCAUGGGACCUUGGACUCACUGCCCAUUCUGAGUUUCAGUACAAACCCCCAUUUGUGGAUGCGAGAUGCCACCAAGACCAGGACUCUGAAAUGCUCCAUGCAGGCCACAUGGAAGGCACUGACCACAUGUGGGCCAUUAUCUAUUUGCGUUUCUCCCAGGAAGGGAUCCCACAUGGGGAGAGCCCCUGG
rnacentral:lncRNA from 1 species